UAGUAGGUAGGACUGGGGUGCUAGCCGUGCCCUGUUCUGAAACCGGCUAUACGCAGAGGUCAGCAACUGCUGGGUAAAUCUCUAGAAUGGUGAUUCCCACUUGGUGUGCGGAAAUGAAAUCACGCCGAGGCGGGUGGUUGUAGGACUAGAAUUAUCCGAAGGGAUAAUUUCUAAGACCGAACGAUCGAAAGGGAUCAGGUCCGGGAGGGAGCAAUCCUAAGGUCGAACAUUCACGCUUCCUCGUCAACGUGGCGGAUCUUGUAUGCCUUGAAAUGGGGUUAUCGAUCUAGUCCAGAACCAGCAGAGCUACUA
rnacentral:SRP_RNA from 1 species